rnacentral:snoRNA from 1 species
ACUUCAUGGUUUGGGCAUUGAGCAAGCUUACCAUUAAACCUCUCCCAUGCUUCAAACAAUGGUUCUCCAUUCAUUUGCCACAAAUUUAUAAUCUCAUCCCAUUU